AUAAAAAAAAAUGCCCAGACAGUGUGCAUUUGGCUGUGCAUAUGAAAUCGGUGUGCCAGUCCACCGGUUCCCAAACGCCAACAAGUUCCCUAAUGAGUUCAGGGCAUGGGUGGAACUUGUUGGCGGAAAAAUUGAAAAAGAAAGCGACUUACAUUUAAAAAAAAAAAAUUGUAUGUUAUUUGCAUUUUACUACCAGGGAUCGUAACCGCUAUUCCCGGCUAAAACUUGGAGCAGUACCGAGCCUGCAUUUACCUGGGUCAGCGGUUUUGGUACCUGGUAGUACAAUGCAGCAAGCAGAAACUGCUCAUAAUGAAGAUUUACUACCCGACUCGAACAAUCGACAUAGGUACCCAUACAGCGAGACCUGAAAGGCUUAACAGCAAUAAUAAAAUAAUUCAAGAACAAUCUUAAAGCUUGGCUAGCAAGCCAAAGAAAUAAUUAAAAUACGGCAGGUGCUGUUAAGAGUUACACUGAGACGUAUAACUGGGGGAAAAUAAAAGCCAUCGACGCGAAAACAAAAGGCCUCCGGUCUGGGAUAAGCCGCCUUAACUUAUUGCUUUGUGUUUCUAAUAUUUUGAAGUUUUAUAAAUAAUACACAAAUAAAUGGAC